CUCUGAAAAGAGAAGAUAAAAGCCCGAUUGCCCCCGAGGAAUUAGCACUUGUUCACAACUUGAGGAAAAUGAUGAAAAAUGAUUGGCAUGGAGGCGCCAUUGUGUCGGCUUUGAGCCAGACUGGGUCUCUCUUUAAGCCCCGGAAAGCCUAUCUGCCCCAGGAGUUGCUGGGAAAGGAAUUUGAAAGUUGUAUUCAGUAUUAUUUGGAAAACAAUUGGCUUCAACAUGAGAAAGCUCCUACAGAAGAAGGGAAAAAAGAGCUGCUGUUCCUAAGUAACGCGAACCCCUCGCUGCUGGAGCGGCACUGUGCCUACCUCUAAGCCAAGAUCACAGCAUGUGAGGAAGACAGUGGACAUCUGCUUUAUGCUGGACCCAGUAAGAUGAGGAAGUCGGGCAGUACACAGGAAGAGGAGCCAGGCCCUUGUACCUAUGGGAUUGGACAGGACUGCAGUUGGCUCUGGACCUGCAUUAAAAUGGGUUUCACUGUGAAUGCGUGACAAUAAGAUAUUCCCUUGUUCCUAAAACUUUAUAUCAGUUUAUUGGAUGUGGUUUUUCACAUUUAAGAUAAUUAUGGCUCUUUUCCUAAAAAAUAAAAUAUCUUUCUAAA
rnacentral:lncRNA from 1 species